UACGGGGGGGGCAAGCGUUGUUCGGAAUUACUGGGCGUAAAGGGCUCGUAGGCGGCCCUCUCAGUCGGAUGUGAAAUCCCCAGGCUUAACCUGGGAAUGGCAUCCGAUACUGGAGGGCUUGAAUUCGGGAGAGGGAUGCAGAAUUCCAGGUGUAGCGGUGAAAUUCGUAGAUAUCGGGAGGAACACCGGUGGCGAAGGCGGCGACCUGGGUCGAUACUGACGCUGAGGUGCGAAAGCGUGGGGAGCAAACAGG
rnacentral:rRNA from 1 species